GGGCGUCUGGGCAGUACCCA
rnacentral:misc_RNA from 1 species